rnacentral:rRNA from 1 species
CCUACGGGGGGCAGCAGUGAGGAAUAUUGGUCAAUGGGCGGAAGCCUGAACCAGCCAAGUCGCGUGAGGGAAUAAGGCCCUACGGGUCGUAAACCUCUUUUGCCGGGGAGCAAGGGCCGGGACGCGUCCCGGCCCGGAGAGUACCCGGAGAAAAAGCAUCGGCUAACUCCGUGCCAGCAGCCGCGGUAAUACGGAGGAUGCGAGCGUUAUCCGGAUUUAUUGGGUUUAAAGGGUGCGUAGUCGGGCUUUUAAGUCAGCGGUAACAAUUCGGGGCGCAACCCCGUCCGGCCGUUGAAACUGGGGGG